GGCCGAGUGGCGAAACUGGCAGACGCACGGGACUUAAAAUCCCGUGGAGAGCGAUCUCCGUGCGGGUUCGAUCCCCGCCUCGGCCA
rnacentral:tRNA from 3 species